UGUUACAAUCACUUUUAUUAAAAAUAAAUCAAGGAUAGAAAAAGAAGCAGCAGUAAUAGCAAAUAUUGGUCCAGAUUUUAAAUGUGCUUUGGAAUUUAGCUUAUAAAUUGGAGGGAAAAAAAUGUAACUUUGGAUGGGGAAAGACAUGUCAAUUCUGGCAAAGAGCAUUGCAAACUAGUGUUCAGUAUAUAAUAUCUCUAUAAAUUUGCACAUAUAUACACAUACCGUAUAUGCUUGUAGAAACAUGAAACUGACAAAUAAUACAUAACCAUGACUCCCCCACAUGCAAUAUCUUUUUAACUAUAGACAAAUCUUUAGAUUGCACAUAGAAACGAUAGUAAUAAAUGUGUGUAGUACGAGGAACCGUAUAUGUGUAUUUGAGUUUUGAUAAACGUAAGCGCUUCAUUGUAAACCUGUGACAUAAGGCACAAUCUCUAGCCUCAUAAAAAGUGCUAUGGCCCAGGCCCACAGUUUUCGCAUUAGCAGACAAAACGGCAUUGGGGAAUAUAACAAAGAACACGUGUGUGAAACCUGCAUUAUUUCCACUCAAAACAAUUCAGUAUUAAAUUUGACAUAACUACAUGGAAUAUUGAGAAAACGGAAUGGUUAUGCACAAUGUAUUGUCCUUCCCAAAUAUAAAAAAAAAAAAUUCUAUGGAACCCCUGGUUCCACCUCCUUUAGGUCAAACUAAGCAUGUGUUUCUGGAAUUUUUCUAUUAAAACAUUAGAAAUCCAUAUUUUUGGAGCACCUAUACAAAGGACCUGUCAACGGUGGUUUCAUAAAGGCGUUUUCUGGGUUAUAGAUAUUGAUGACCUAUCAUGGGAUAAAUGUUCAACUGCUGACAGCACUAGGCAGGGGCUGGAGAGAGCACGCUCUUUCCUUUUCGCUGUAAGCUGCUUUAAAGCCCUUCCCCUCUGAUCUCAGUGACGGCUGCCGCAUCCAAACAGGAGUCCACUACAGUUGUCACUUCCAGCAGAGGGAAGAGAGUAGAAAGCAGCUCAAUGCAGAGAGCACUUCAGUGAGAAGCCCAGCCUCCUGAGCACUUGCAGGAGCAGAAUAUGGCAGAAUAAAACUCCAUAUUCACACUAUUCCUAAUAAUACAUCUUUGCAAACUGUAUGUUUGUCCUGCUCUUUGCAGCUCCUAACUAGUGCAGUCAGCAGUUUAGCACGGUCAAAACUCCUGAAAGUUUUGCUUUAAAGGGGUUGUCCGGCCAUAUAUCUUGAUAACCUAUCAUCAGGAUAGGUCAAUCAAUAUCGGAUUAGUGGGGGUCCGACACCCGGCACCCCCACCGAUCAGCUGUUUGAGGAGAAGGUAGCACUCCACUUGAAUGAAGUGAGUGCUUCUAUUACAUUGCACUUCCGAGACACAGUGAAGUGUAAUGAACAGGAAACGGAGCUCGCAUACAACACCGCCUUCUCUUCAAACAGCUGAUCAGCAGCGCUUCUGGACCCCCACCGAUCAGACAUUGAUGAACUAUCCUGAGGAUAGGUCAUCAAUAUAUAUGGCCAGACAACCCCUUUAAUGUUUAAAGCCUGUUGAACACUCUGUACUAUCUGCAGGCAGCGUGUUGUAGAGUUAUAUGUUAUAGUUUUGUGGGAGAAGACUCGGCUUAAAAUUUAUUGAUUUUAAUCCCUGGGUAGUCCUAUACAAAGACUGACAGCUAUCUAGGAAUGUAAGAUUAUACAGGGAAGGCUGUCAAUUACUGAAGCAGAGGGCCCACUAGUGUCAAACCUGGAGGCAGCAGGGAUUUGAAUCAACACAUACACAAUCAAUAUAUAUCACUCUGCUCAGCUCAUCCUCUGUUGAGAACAGACAGGGCAGCAUGUUCAACAUGUUAGAUGCACUUUAAAGGGAACCUGUCACCUAGAAAAUGCAUAUUAAACCACCAACAGUACCUUUUGGCAGCCUGUAGCAUGAUUAUAAAAGGUGUCUGUGUCUUUUCUGUACAAUGCGCCAAAAGU